AUUGAACGCUGGCGGCAGGCCUAACACAUGCAAGUCGAGCGGAUGACGGGAGCUUGCUCCUUGAUUCAGCGGCGAACGGGUGAGUAAUACCUAGGAAUCUGCCUGAUAGUGGGGGACAACGUUUCGAAAGGAACGCUAAUACCGCAUACGUCCUACGGGAGAAAGCAGGGGACCUUCGGGCCUUGCGCUAUCAGAUGAGCCUAGGUCGGAUUAGCUAGUUGGUGAGGUAAUGGAUCACCAAGGCGACGAUCCGUAACUGGUCUGAGAGGAUGAUCAGUCACACUGGAACUGAGAUACGGUCCAGACUCCUACGGGAGGCAGCAGUGGGGAAUAUUGGACAAUGGGCGAAAGCCUGAUCCAGCCAUGCCGCGUGUGUGAAGAAGGUCUUCGGAUUGUAAAGCACUUUAAGUUGGGAGGAAGGGCAGUAAGCUAAUACCUUGCUGUUUUGUCGUUACCGACAGAAUAAGCACCGGCUAACUCUGCGCCAGCCGCCGCAGUAAGAC
rnacentral:rRNA from 1 species